AGAGUUUGAUCCUGGCUCAGGAUGAACGCUAGCGGCAGGCCUAACACAUGCAAGUCGAGGGGCAGCACGUCUUCGGAUGGUGGCGACCGGCGCACGGGGGCGUAACGCGUAUACGUAUACAAUCUACCUUUUACAGAGAGAUACCCCAGAGAAAUUUGGAAUAAUACCUCAUAAUAUUAUUGCUUGGCAUCGAGUGAUAAUUAAAGUUUCGGCGGUAAAAGAUGAGUAUGCGUCCUAUUAGCUAGUUGGUAAGGUAACGGCUUACCAAGGCAACGAUAGGUAGGGGUCCUGAGAGGGAGAUCCCCCACACUGGUACUGAGACACGGACCAGACUCCUACGGGAGGCAGCAGUGAGGAAUAUUGGUCAAUGGGCGAAAGCCUGAACCAGCCAUGCCGCGUGCAGGAAGACUGCCCUAUGGGUUGUAAACUGCUUUUAUACAGGAAGAAAAAAACGGNNNNNNNNNNNNNNNNCUGUACUGACAGAAUAAGCACCGGCAAACUCUGUGCCAGCAGCCGCGGUAAUACAGAGGGUGCGAGCGUUAAUCGGAAUUACUGGGCGUAAAGGGCGCGUAGGCGGUUAUGUGAGUGUGAUGUGAAAGCCCUGGGCUUAACCUAGGAAGAGCAUCGCAAACGAUAUAACUGGAGUAUGGGAGAGGGUGGCGGAAUUUCCGGUGUAGCGGUGAAAUGCGUAGAGAUCGGAAGGAACGUCGAUGGCGAAGGCAGCCACCUGGCCUGAUACUGACGCUGAGGCGCGAGAGCGUGGGGAGCGAACAGGAUUAGAUACCCUGGUAGUCCACGCUGUAAACGAUGAGGACUAGAUGUUGGAUGGGGAACCAUUUGGUAUCGAAGCUAACGCGAUAAGUCUUCCGCCUGGGAAGUACGGCCGCAAGGUUGAAACUCAAAGGAAUUGACGGGGGCCCGCACAAGCGGUGGAGCAUGUGGUUUAAUUCGAUGCAACGCGAAGAACCUUACCUACUCUUGACAUCCUACGAAUCUGGCAGAGAUGCUGGAGUGCCGAAAGGAGCGUAGAGACAGGUGCUGCAUGGCUGUCGUCAGCUCGUGUUGUGAGAUGUUGGGUUAAGUCCCGUAACGAGCGCAACCCCUGUCCUUAGUUGCCAUCAUUAAGUCGGGGACUCUAAGGAGACUGCCGGUGAGGAACCGGAGGAAGGCGGGGACGACGUCAAGUCAUCAUGGCCUUUAUAAGUAGGGCUACACACGUGCUACAAUGGGGCGUACAGAGGGUAGCGAACCUGCGAAGGGGAGCCAAUCUCAGAAAGCGUCUCGUAGUCCGGAUUGGAGUCUGCAACUCGACUCCAUGAAGUUGGAAUCGCUAGUAAUCGCGAAUCAGCCAUGUCGCGGUGAAUACGUUCCCGGGCCUUGUACACACCGCCCGUCACGUCAUGGGAGUGGAUGGUACCAGAAGCGGGUAGUUUAACUGAAAGGGGAACGCCUGCCACGGUAUGAUUCAUGACUGGGACGAAGUCGUAACAAGGUAACC
rnacentral:rRNA from 1 species